AGCGAACGCUGGCGGCAGGCCUAACACAUGCAAGUCGAACGGACCCUUCGGGGUUAGUGGCGGACGGGUGAGUAACACGUGGGAACGUGCCUUUAGGUUCGGAAUAGCUCCUGGAAACGGGUGGUAAUGCCGAAUGUGCCCUUCGGGGGAAAGAUUUAUCGCCUUUAGAGCGGCCCGCGCCUGAUUAGCUAGUUGGUGAGGUAACGGCUCACCAAGGCGACGAUCAGUAGCUGGUCUGAUAGGAUGACCAGCCACACUGGGACUGAGACACGGCCCUGACUCCUACGGGAGGCAGCAGUGGGGAAUCUUGCGCAAUGGGCGAAAGCCUGACGCAGCCAUGCCGCGUGAAUGAUGAAGGUCUUAGGAUUGUAAAAUUCUUUCACCGGGGACGAUAAUGACGGUACCCGGAGAAGAAGCCCCGGCUAACUUCGUGCCAGCCGCCGCGGUAA
rnacentral:rRNA from 1 species